rnacentral:tRNA from 1 species
GCCCCCGUAGCUCAGUGGAUAGAGCAGCGGUCUACGGAACCGCGUGCGCUGGUUCGAUUCCAGUCGGGGGCU